rnacentral:rRNA from 1 species
UACGGGGGGGGCAAGCGUUGUUCGGAAUUACUGGGCGUAAAGGGCUCGUAGGUGGCCAACUAAGUCAGACGUGAAAUCCCUCAGCUUAACUGGGGAACUGCGUCUGAUACUGGAUGGCUUGAGUUUGGGAGAGGGAUGCGGAAUUCCAGGUGUAGCGGUGAAAUGCGUAGAUAUCUGGAGGAACACCGGUGGCGAAGGCGGCAUCCUGGACCGAGAUUGACGCUGAGGCGCGAAAGCCAGGGGAGCAAACGGG